rnacentral:pre_miRNA from 1 species
UGGACAGAUUAUUACAUUCGACUGUAUUCACAGCGUGAAACAGGGGAUUACACUAUUUUUAAACGGAAAGUGAAUCAAUUAACAUAAUAGACUCCU